GUCGGUCGAUCUGUCUGUCUCUCAGUUGGGCUUGUUGCUGUUAGCUUUUAUUUUAAUCCUUGCGACGCGUUGUUGGACCUGCGUCUAUUGUUGUUGUUACGCCGCCUGUCUGCCAGACUUUUGUGCGUAAAAUUGAUGUCAGCAAAUCCAUGCCAACGUUCAAGACUGUAAAAAGGAAUUGUUAAUACCCCUCGACAACAAAGUGCUGCCAGCAACAACAGAUAUAGAUAAAUAAUAUUAAAUACGCGACUCACUCACAUAUAGAACGUAGAAAUUGGACUCAAGCGAAUUGGAAUUAAAACAUGAUCAUGGAAUUGUCAUUAAUCAGGCACUAGAUACAACAAA